rnacentral:rRNA from 1 species
GACGAACGCUGGCGGCGUGCCUAACACAUGCAAGUCGAACGGAGUUAAAUUCGACACCCGAGUAUCCGGCCGGGAGGCGGGGUGCUGGGGGUUGGAUUUAACUUAGUGGCGGACGGGUGAGUAACGCGUGAGUAACCUGCCUUUCAGAGGGGGAUAACGUUCUGAAAAGAACGCUAAUACCGCAUAACAUCAAUUUAUCGCAUGAUAGGUUGAUCAAAGGAGCAAUCCGCUGGAAGAUGGACUCGCGUCCGAUUAGCCAGUUGGCGGGGUAACGGCCCACCAAAGCGACGAUCGGUAGCCGGACUGAGAGGUUGAACGGCCACAUUGGGACUGAGACACGGCCCAGACUCCUACGGGAGGCAGCAGUGGGGGAUAUUGCACAAUGGGGGAAACCCUGAUGCAGCAACGCCGCGUGAGGGAAGAAGGUUUUCGGAUUGUAAACCUCUGUUCUUAGUGACGAUAAUGACGGUAGCUAAGGAGAAAGCUCCGGCUAACUACGUGCCAGCAGCCGCGGUAAUACGUAGGGAGCGAGCGUUGUCCGGAUUUACUGGGUGUAAAGGGUGCGUAGGCGGCGAGGCAAGUCAGGCGUGAAAUCUAUGGGCUUAACCCAUAAACUGCGCUUGAAACUGUCUUGCUUGAGUGAAGUAGAGGUAGGCGGAAUUCCCGGUGUAGCGGUGAAAUGCGUAGAGAUCGGGAGGAACACCAGUGGCGAAGGCGGCCUACUGGGCUUCAACUGACGCUGAAGCACGAAAGCAUGGGUAGCAAACAGGAUUAGAUACCCUGGUAGUCCAUGCCGUAAACGAUGAUU